GACGGAGGGGGCUAGCGUUGUUCGGAAUUACUGGGCGUAAAGCGCGCGUAGGCGGUAUAAUAAGUUGGAAGUGAAAGCCCGGGGCUCAACCUCGGAACUGCUUCCAAAACUGUUAUUCUAGAGUGUAGUAGGGGAUGAUGGAAUUCCUAGUGUAGUGGUGAAAUACGCAGAUAUUAGGAGGAACACCGGUGGCGAAGGCGGUCAUCUGGGCUACAACUGACGCUGAGGCGCGAAAGCAUGGGGAGCAAACAGG
rnacentral:rRNA from 1 species